GUAUCUCUACAACAAUGAUAUAUCUUCAAUAAAACCAUUCGCAUUUGUUAAUCUACCAAUCAUUCGAUACCUGUACCUAUACAACAAUAAGCUAACAUCAAUCGUAGAGAACACAUUUGUUAAUCUUUCAUCACUUUAUUAUCUACAUUUAAGUGGAAACAACAUUAGUCUAAUUGAGGAAAAUGCUCUAGGAAACCUGUCCCAGCUAUUAGCGUUGUACCUUGGUUCAAAUCCAAUUAACUGUGAUUGCAGUGUAAUUCCAUUUUGGUCCUGGAUAAUUGAAAGACCAUCUGUUGGAACAAGUGCUCAAUGUAGCGACGGAAAAUUUAUUAUUUCUCUGAGAUCGGCUGAGCUGGACAAAUGUAAUCCUGAUAAUUGCCAAUGCUUUAAUGGUGGAAAAUGUAUCACGAGCGGGGAUGGAAAAGUUGUUUGUGACUGUAUUGGACAAUGGACUGGUGAAUUUUGUCUAGAAAGUCAGUGUACGACAUACGACUGUGGAUUUGGAAACUGCUUUGUAGAACCAAUCAAUGGAACAGCUCAAUGUGUUUGUGACAACAAACAACCAACCUAUUGUCUUGGUAAGCACA